UACGGAGGGUGCGAGCGUUGUUCGGAAUCACUGGGCGUAAAGCGCGUGUAGGCGGCUCUAUAAGUCUGGUGUGAAAGCCCGGGGCUCACCCCCGGAAGUGCACUGGAUACUGUAGGGCUCGAGUCCCGGAGAGGAAAGUGGAAUUCCUGGUGUAGCGGUGAAAUGCGUAGAUAUCGGGAGGAACACCAGUGGCGAAGGCGGCUUUCUGGGCCUUGCCUGACGCUGAGACGCGAAAGCGUGGGGAGCGAACCGG
rnacentral:rRNA from 1 species